AAAUUCCGAAUUUUCAAUCACAGGCAUAAUAUAUAGAGAAAUCAAUCAGUUGACAGUAGCGAUAAGCUAGAAAAAUUACCUGCAUGGAUCUCAUUAGCUUUUCCAUUUCAGCCUCUUUUGAGGACUUAGAAACAAACGGUUCUCCUGGAACUCUAUUCUGAAGCAAAAGAAGAAAGAAUACCAACCUAUGAAUGUGGAAGCUAAUUGUAUUGCUUAUUUAACAGCUAAAUCAGCAUGUAGCACCUAGGUAAGGUUCUCCUGGGGCUCUAUUCUGAAGUAAAAGAAGAAAGAAUACCAACCCAUGAAUGUGGAAGCUAAUUGUAUUGCUUAUUUAACAGCUAAAUCAGCAGGUAGCACCUAGAUAAUUAAGAAUUUAUCAGAGAACAUGCUAUACUAUGCUUAGAAGAAUAAAAAGCCUUCAAUCAAAUAACAAUGGAUUGGUGUGAUGAACUUUUCAUGGGUAGAAUACUGUCAUCCAAGGUUGUAAGGCACAAAAGCAGAUUUCAGAUGGCCGUAAUAAUGUAUGCUUCUGGCUCAGCACUUCAAAGGUUUUAGUCCAUAAACAUUUUGGUUCCAGCAUACAAAUACAUAUAUGCAUUAUUCGAUGCAUCUUUAAAUCAACAUCUUGCCAUGCAACAACAACAAUCCAAUAUAGACCCCCACAAGUGGGGUUUGGG
rnacentral:lncRNA from 1 species